rnacentral:rRNA from 1 species
ACCCUUAGAUGUUCUGGGCCGCACGCGCGCUACACUGAUCGAUUCAACGAGUUUUAUAAUAUUUUGUUUAAAAAAUUUAUAUAUCCUUUGUCGGAAGGCAUGGGUAAUCUUUUAAAUGUCGAUCGUGAUGGGGCUAGAUUCUUGCAAUUAUUAAUCUCCAACGAGGAAUUCCUAGUAAACGCAAGUCAUCAGCUUGCAUUGAUUACGUCCCUGCCCUUUGUACACACCGCCCGUCGCACCUACCGAUUGAAUGGUCCGGUGAAAUCUUGGGAUUUUGUUUUGUUUGCAUUUAUUUGUAUCGAGACGAGAGAACUUGAGUAAACCUUACCAUUUAGAGGAAGGUGAAGUCGUAACA